CCUUCCUGUCAGGGAGGUCCCAGGCUCUGUGCUCUCCUAGCCUGUUUUCUGAUAUUUUUCUGGGUGGGGAACAGCCUAAACGAGUUGGGUCUGCUCACAGGAGAUAGGGGGCUGAGGCAAGAGCCGGGCACUUUUGGUUCUUUGUCUUUGGAGGCUUCUGCUUAGGGCAGUUCUUUCUCCACCAUCUACAACCAAGCCUCAGUGGGUCUGAGAGCUGUGUGCACCCAGGGCCAUGUGGUGGUAGGGGGCAGUGGGAGCAUGGUGUCCCCAAGUAUCGGCCAAUGGUGGCGCUGCUGACCAGGAGGCAACAGAACAUCUCCCUCUAGGAGAGGUCAGAUACCCUGCUGGCCUAGCUGCCCUUUGAAGCUUAACUGUCCCCAACCUGAGCCUUCCAGGACCCCAAAUUAGUCUCUGAGGCUGCUGGUCAAGAGGCCAUGGCGUCACUGUGAAACUCGAGCUUCCUGGGGCCGAAGGGUCCUGACCAAAGAAGGAGCGCCUGUGUACACAGAAGGCCAAUAGCCUUCUAGAAGGCUCAAGUGUCCCCAUUAUGGAUGUGCCCCCAAGGUGGCCUUCUUGCUGUUGCCUCUUCCCCCAACCCCCACCCCAAGCCCCGAGGCCUGUGUCUCACAGCCUCAGGCCCUGCCUCCCUGAGGGCUUCAGGGAUCGAGUUCCCCUCCUGGCCGUGUCUUAUCUCUGGAAAAGCGAUUACAGGGUUUCUACAUUAAAUUUUCAGCGUGAAGCUUUUUUUUUGUAUGAAGUUUGAAGUGGGUUUUUUUUUUUUUUUUCCAAAUAACACCUGGAGAGGAAGGACACAAAAGAAGAAUGUUGGCUCACAAAACUCUGGGCUGGGGGUGGCUGUCCUGCAACCCUGCCUCAUUCAGCCCCUCAGUGCCUUCUCUCCCCAGCCCUGUUUGAGCUAUUAUAAGUUAACCCUCUCAUGGCCUUCAUUCGUCCCCGAGCCUGUAUCCACUAUGACCUACAGAUUGGUACCACAGCUUACAGAAUCAUGGGGCCUGAACCCCUCAGUCAUGCACCCCUCCGCUGGCCUUUUGCUUGGUGUGUGCUGUCUCCAGGCAGCCUGGCUUACCUUUACUUAAAGCUAGGCAUGCCUGCUUGGGACCUCUCUGGGCCCUCGGAGAUUGGUAAUGGCUGGGGCCUGCUGUUUUCCUCUCUUGGUAAUUGAAGGGGCCACUUGGGAAAUCUACUCUCAAGCUUGUCUGUUGGGUCAUUUUGAUUUGGGGAUUUCCAAACAUUGGGGCCAUGAAAGGUCACCCCGCUGACCCCAGCCUGCCUCAUUAUGUCACAGCCAGAUUGCUGUGGUACCUGAUGGAAUCCAGAAGGCCCAAGCCGGUGGGAGGGCAGGCAGGCAGGCAGGCAGUAGGCUGAGAUGUGGGGGCAGGGCACUAGGCCCAGCUUAUCCCAGUUCUAAGCAAAGCUGCCUUCCCAGUCUUCCUCUUGUCAGAAAUAUCAGCCAUGGUACCACAAGUCCAGGCUGUGUGUGUCCUGCCAACCUUGCCCUUGGGCAGCAGGCACCAGCCACUUGUUCUGACUCCCUAGGCCCUUGAAUGGACCUUGUCCGUUGUCCAGUCUCUCACAAGUGUCUUUACGUCCCUUCCCACCACUGUUGGCUGCUUUUAUCCUAGUUCACUGGCCCCUAGCCCUCCCACAAGCCCCUUGGCACCUCCCCAGCCCCUCAAAGGCCCUAUGGACCCAUUUUGCAGCCCUUACCGGGGACUGUAGGAAUUUGCCUACCCAGCCAAGUGAGCAACACUUCCAGCCACCCAGUCCCUUGUUGAGCUUUUCUCUUGUUUCCAUUACUUUGAUGAGCAGCCGAAGGGUCCCUUUCUGCCCCAUAUUAUAAUUUUCUUGGGUGAUUACUGGGCUCAGGUCCAAGCUCCCCCAACUAACAGCACCCUCCCCCCCAGGAGAGAUGUGCAGUCUUGGGGAAAAGACAUCUGUAAACCAGAAGAACCAGGAUUGCCUCUGGCCUUUCUCCUCUCCCAGAGACUCCCUUUCUCUCAAAGUCUCCAAAAGGCAUCCAUGCUCAACUUGGCUGUCCCCUAACCCCUGACUCCCAGUCAAUGCCCAUCCAUACUUACGAGCCACAGAGGAUGAUGUCUAUGGCCAGAGAGGGCAGCCGAGGGUACAAGCAUGGCUUGUAUCCACUUGCUACCCGCUAGUUCUCAGUGCUUCAGCAACUCCAUAGCCCCCUUCCCUGCCAGGACAUGGGUGAGUGGAACUACCUAGACUCACCCUUCUUCUCCUGGAAGGAGCUUGUUAUCCCUGAAAUCUAGCUUUCUUCUGUGAGUGAGAACUGAAGGGCAUUCUGAGGUGUGUAAUUGGAGUGUAAUGUGGAGGAUCCUUCCCCUCAGUUUCUUCAGGGCCUUGGAGGCUGAUGUGGGUAAGUAAUUAAGUGAUCAGGGUAGAGGCAUCAGAGAGGAGGAUAGAUGUUUAACCUCCUCCCCCAAUGACAGCCAGUAGCCCAGCUGAGCAUCCAGGCCUUGCUCAUCCCCGUGUGCCCUGGAAAUGGGAGACGGCUCAGCAGUGCCUGAGGCCAGGCACUGAGCACUGAGUUCCUUUCUAUCCCUUGGAGCCUGGCUUGGCCCAUGGGCUUAGCUGGUCAGCACUGUCCAUAAACCUCACAAGUAGCAGUCAGAGGUUGGCGGGUAAGGCACAGCACUCCUUCAGAGGCAGAGUUGGCCAAGGCAGAGUUGAGCUACUCAGGACACUGUGUGCUAGACCCGGCCAUGUUUGUCCCUGCUUCCUCCUCACCUUUGCAGCAUCCAGCCUCCCCUCCGUGCUUUGAGAUUCCUUCACCUCCUCCUUUGCCUCUCUCUGACCUUCUUACCCACACAACCCUCCUGAAAGCCAGUGAAGGGCAAGAUGGCUGGAGCACCGUCUAUCCAGGAGCAGCUCGUUUUCUCUCUCUCCCAGCAGUGGCAGGCAAGCCCAAGGAGAAGGGCACCUUAGACAUGCCCAACACCCUGGUGGUGGCCCCAGCCCCAAGAGGUGGGGAUCUGGAGCCUGACCAUGGCACCUCUUGGGACGAGAGUCUCUUGUUCAAGUAAGACCUUGAUAGUCCUGGUGUGGAGGUUGGGUUAAUUCCAGACCCCAAAUCCACCUCCUUUGCUGUAUCAAAGAUUGUCCAUGGCCGGCGACAAGCCCAGAGUCCAAUGGUGUUGUUGGUCUUGGGGUACAGCGGGACUCUGGCUGUACUGUAACAAGAGCAGUGGUGCUAGUUGUCUAACUGCAACAAGGUGGCCUUCAAGGUGAAGCAAUACCCAUUCGUUCCCAGUGAUCAGCAUAAGGGUGAUGCGUGGUUUUCUCUCGGUUCACAGUGAGCCCGGCACCAGGGAACCCACAUACUAGCACUGCCCAGUUCUGAGGCAAGACCUCUCCCAGCUCCUCCCAAGCUCUCGUGGCCCCAGAUGAAGCUCCUUCUUCAGCUUCUCACAUGGCAAAGCAGCCUGUUUCCAUUCCUCUGUGUCUACCCGCUCAGGGAAGUCCUCAAAUCAUUUCUUCUGCCUCAGAGUGUCCUGGGCCGCCACCUUUCUUACUCUCCUGCCACCAUAUGAAGAGGGACCAAGAGGAAGUGGAAAAUUUCAAGAAGAAGGGAAAGAGGGUCUGUUGGCUUGAUGGGGCCAGGGCUGGCCCAGCAGGAGUUUAGACAUCCUGAACAUGUUUGGCACACAGUGGCCAUCAGCCACAAUGAGAACAGCAUGAAUGAAGUCAAGGGACACACCCAGAAGAACAGCAAGCUGCCUUGACCAGAACCUCGAAGGAUCGCUUUGAAGCUGACAGAUCUGAUGGUGUUCUGACACUUCUGUCUGUGUAGCAUUCCAAGCGCUAACAACCAGAGAUCAAAAUAUUGGACAACUGUGAGAGAUAUCGAAGAUACCAGCCUGUGGUAUCAAAUGCUCAGCCAAUGUUUCAUUCUUUAUGUAAAAAAUAAAUGUAUCCAUGUCAUUAGCAUAGAGAUUUCUUUCAUCGUUAAUGAAUGGUGAAAUUAUAUCUCUAUCAAGGAAUUGUUUUGAAAUAAAUUUAUUUAUGAUUGGUGAUGAGUCAGCUUGAUUUACACUCCAUCUUCUCUUCCUAUAUGCUUGAGGUCAUGUAAAGUUUUCUUGGGUGAAAUAGAACAGAAAGUGGUAAGUGACAAAUUUCUGUCUUGACACUCAUUUUCCAAGGGUCUUGCUAUGAGGCUGGUUACAUGUCACUUGUGAUAAUGGAGCAAAACUUCACCCUCAGCCAGUCCCCACUAGUGUUCCCUGCUAUGGAGUGCAUUAAUAUCCUAUUGCCUCCUCCUGCUUACUGAUCUUUGACUCCAAAUGAUGAAUCUUAGCAUUUGAGGUAUGGGAUGCCCAUCCCCUAGGAAUCUGUUCUUUUCUAGAAUGACAGUUUAUCUUAGAAGCAAUCUUGUCAUUCAAACUUUCCUUUCUGAUUUGCUCCAUGAGCUCCCACUGGCAUACUUUUGGUUUUAAGAUCUGUUGUAUUUCUUGGCAAGGGCAUCCUAACACCCAGUCACCCUAUUACAUCCCAGGUAAGAAAUAGGAGUAUGCCAAGGAGUUUGUAGAUGGUGAACUGAGCAUUAGAGUAGAGCCUUGCAGUUCAGGAGAGGCUGAAAGGGGCCAGGGGGCUAAGGAGAGGAGACCUGGGACAUGGUGCACCACAGAGCUGGAAUCAGGACAGGAACCCACUCAGAGGGCACACAGCUGGGAAGGGCCCAUGGGGCUACUUAGGAGAGGGACCAAGAAGUUGAGCAGGCCUGUGCUCUACAACCCCUCAUACAUACUGACCCACACUCAUAUGCUCACACACUAAUAUUGCCCACUCAAACACAAAAACAUUCACCGAAACACACAAGUACAAGAUGGCUUCACACUGGAGCUCACAAACACACCAGGCACUCAGAGUCACAGACACUACAUCCACUCAUAUCUAUACUCAAACAUACACACAGACACAUCGUUAGCCAAACACAGGUUCAAAACAAGCAUGCUCACGCACAUGCUCACACACACACACACACACACACACACACAGACACACAGACACGCACGCACGCAUGCACCACACUUCCAUAGCCUGCCACAUUCACCUGUCUCUUCCUUUUAUGGUACCCAAGAAGCCACAGUAGGUGGCAGGUGAUAACAAUGUUUCUGUUUACAGAUGGAGAAACUGAAAGGGAGGGGGCUUCUUGAGAGCUCAAGGAUUUGGCUUAGACCCAGAACUGGAUGUCAGGCUCCGUCCUCCUGACACCCAGCGUGACAUGGAUACACUAGGAGCACGUAGGGACACUGUUGCACCAUAACAGCCUUCUAUCACAUGAGACCUCCCAGGGACAGAAACAUUGAACCAAGGCCAGGGCCAUCGGGAAACUAGUCUGUAUCUCUCUAAGUAACAAAUUGAACCUGGGCCCUGCAGGGCCACUUUCUGCCUCACAUACAGAAGUUUGGAGUACAGAACCCUAUCCACUGUGGUGUCUGCCACCGGACCAGAAGUAGGACUAUGUGUACAGAGCAGGAAGACAGUUCUCUAAGAAUGUCCCACCGCCCACGCAUGCAUGGUGGCAGGAGAUGAAGCCAGCUGUGGCCACAGAGUUCUGGUUCAGAGCAAAUAUUGUCCUAAAGUGGUUCUGGAACGUGCCUUGUGCAUUUGUGUUUUUGUGUGUGUGUUUUGGGAGCUGUUGCAUUGACAGUGGCUGCCAGCCAGCCUCCACAGAGGAAAGUAGGGUAGCUAGACAGUCUCUUGGGGGCCCAGCACCUGCAUCUCACAUCUGUCUCUGCUUUAUAUCUAGGGCUGUCCAUCCGCCAUGAGCUUGUACUGGUGAGGCAGCACAGGUGCCCAUAUGAAGGACUCUCCUGCCAAAGGUUAGGAGGGAGGGCAGACUCAGCUAAGGAACUGAGUCCUAUUACUGGACCAGGUCCAACUGGAGAAAAUGCUCUUACCAACCUUAGAACCAGCCAUUGAAGUCAGUCACCAGAUACUUGUUCCAGAGCUUAGAGUCCUCUGCAGCACCCCAGAGGUAGCCACCAGACCUGGCAACCCCAGACAUGACCUUGGGUACCUGCCAUUCCCUGGACAGGAAGAAUUAGGCAAAUGGUGUGGAGCCAGUUCUCUGGUGUCCACCAUUCCUGCACAGCUGAAGGGCUCACUACUCUCAGCUCCUCAGAUGGACAGAUGAUGGUAAGUCACAUUUUAUCCCCAUGAGUAUGACUAUCAUCAGAGACCUCAUGGACCUGCCCAGUGUUCUCAGGAAUGUUCUAGAAGCAAAGGUAAUAAGGUGCCUAAGGUUAGGAUAGGUGGAACGAGGUAGGCUAUGAAGGAAGGAACUCAGGAAAUAUGGGGACCAGAGCCGCCACUGGAGCCAAGGACAGUUCUUGGCCCUCUGUGUGUGUUAGACACCCGGUAUCAUCAAGUCUACCCAUAUGCUGUUGUGGGGUGUCAAUUCCACCCACUCUUGCUCCCCAUAAGGCUGCCUCAAAUACUAGCUUGUUUAGAUGGCAUUUGUAGGUUGACUCCUGCCCACCUAACAGGUUCUUCCCUGGGCAUUAGAAUUCCAGGUUCUCUCUCAAGGACACCUAGUUUCUCUUCCAAAGAGAAAGCCUUCAGACAGACUUGGCUCCCCAUACAUGUCUCUCAAUGAUGUAAUCUUGCUUGCUCUUCAGUGAAUUUCGUUUGGUACCCGGCACAGGUCGGUGGGCACACAGAGGUAGUGGCCAAGUUAGAAUUUGAGGCUCUGGGGAAAGUUAGGACCCUCUGGCCCAAAAUCAUUCCUCUUAUUUUGUAUACCUCUUCUCCUUUGUGGUUUGUUUGUUUGUUUGUUUGUUUGUUUGUUUUGUGGUGAAUGAGCUGGAGAGUGUAGUAUAUGCUCAUGUGUAUGUAUGUCUGUGUGCACGCAGAUGCAUGUGUGUACAUGGGUGUGGAGGCCAGAGGUCAACAUCAGAUGCCUUCCACUAUUGUUCUCUGCCUUAUUAUUUGUUUGUUUGUUUGUUUGUUUGUUUGUUUGAGACAGGGAUGUUAGAACUUGGAGCUCACCAAUUAGCUAGGCUGGCUGAAAACUGAGCUCCUCUGUGCAGCCUCCAAUGCCCAGCUAGAGGUAACCCUCAAUUCCCAGCCUAGCCAUGUGCUUUCUAGGGCCCAAGUUGUUACUGGACUAGACUUUUGCCAAAUCUUCUGAGCUGGUACUGUGAGGCAGAGGUGAGGGAUGGACCAACAGGAAAUCAGGUGAGGCCAGCAUGAUUUUUCUAAGGGGCUGACCCAGCCAUGGCCCUUUCUACAGAUCUCUCUAGGUCUCUGCCUUCUUCUUCUGGGACCAGAAAACCCUGCAUAUCCCUCUUAACCAUUACUGAAUGUUGGGGGUGAUCUGUGAUGGGAAAGACGGAGCUUGGGACUCAGCUAAGAGAUCCAGAUACCCCCAUGUAUUCUACACAUCAUUUUGGAGAAUGUGGGGGGCCUGGAAAGAAAUAAGUGGCCCCCUGAAGCCCAAAAGUAGCCCAGAUGGACACAGGCAUGCGGGCAAGGAUAAGUGUCCCGACUGUGGGGAGGAAGUCAGGAUGAUGUGGGCAGUUGUGGUCUCUGUGGGUCUGACACAGAGGUUCAUUGCUGUAAACAUUCCUUCUCUGAAGGCGUCCUGGGAACUUCAGGUACCGCCCUCAGGGGACUGCAGAAAUGUCUCUCCCUGGCCUUCUCAAUCCCACAGCCACCUACCUCCAUGCCUUUCUCACCUGGUCACCUCAGGGCCUUGAGAAACCAAAACCUCCCCCACAAACACCUUCCACCUGAGAUCCCUGACCUACCCCAGGUCUUGGAACCACAGACCCCAAAACCUGACACUCUUGCCAUCACAGCCAUUUGGAGGCCUCCUGUAUCCCUUUUUCCAGUGUGACAAAAGCCACCAUGGGAGACAUGCCCUGACCCUCAGCCAUCACCCCAUAACCUGAUCUUGAGUUUCUCAGACCUGGGGAAGACCCUCGAAUGUGGGAAACCCCCCCUAAAGUUUCCAUAGGAGCUUUCAACCUGGAGCAGAUAAAUGCUGGAAUGAAGACCUUCCUGAAUGCUACUCAGGCUGUCACGUCUCCCUGGCUCCCCAGCCCAUUCUUGUCUAAUUCCAAAGCAGAUCCGCUGGACUUCAGAGAGACUGUGGGAUGCCUUGCCUUUAAUUACAACCAGAACUUGAAAACUCAAAGAAGGAGCCACUGGCCUUCUCCCCCACAUCACACCCCAAGCUGAGAGUUCUCGCAGAGCUCACACCGCAGGACCUAGAGCUUUCCUUCUCUUCCUUCAAGGAGGAUGUGGAGAUUUUGAAUCCAUUCUUCUGACGCCUGCUCUUUCCCUGAGACUUGCAGUAGGCUCCUCUCCUGACUGAUGUUUUAUAAUGGUAGGGCAACCGGGACUGACCAGAGGGGCAACGGUUAAAAGCACAGCUCAGAGACCUCAAGGCUUUGCCACGUAUUCUUUUUUUGACAGCCUUAGAGGUAUGAUGACUUCAACCCCUGCCCUCAUAAAGAACAACUCACUGGGGGCUGGAGAGAUGGCUCAGUGGUUAAGAGUGUUGUUGCUCUUACAGAGGACCUGGGCUCAGUUCUGUGACUCAACAACCAUCGGUAGAAGAGAGCCCUCUGAGAGCUCUGUGCCCCAAGUGUAAACACAGACACACAUGUGCAUCUAUGUGAACGAGGUACACUAACCAUCUGACUGGAGACAGACUAAGAAGAGCAGUGGAUUUGAUAGCAUGUGGCUCCCAGAGUGGGUUCCCUGAGGCUGCUGUCUGUGGGAUUGCCACAGAGAUGCCACAACCUGGGUGUUUCUGCCAUCUUUGGAGGUGGGGGCCACGGUCUAUGGAGAGCAGCUCAAAACCUCCAGGAUUCUACUCAUACCUGUCCUCGCUGUUCUGGUAGCUUUUUACUUUUGACUAUCAACCUCAUUGGAUUGAGACACCUAGGACAUCUGCGCAAACAUUUCCAGAGACAAUAAACUGGGCAGUGUGUG